CGGCGAGGUGGUGCGGCUGCGCGCAGCGCUCGACUGGCUGGGCGCGGCCCAGGGCCGCGUGCUCGCGGCCGAUCCGCUCGGCACGCGCCGCC
rnacentral:tRNA from 1 species